UGCAUGACGUUAUUGUAUGUAA
rnacentral:piRNA from 1 species